UACGGGGGGUGCGAGCGUUGUCCGGAUUCACUGGGCGUAAAGGGCGCGUAGGCGGCCGACUCAGUCGGGCCUGUAAGUGCGGGGCUUAACCCCGUGAUGGGCCCGGGACGGGUCGGCUGGGGCGCGGUCGAGGGAGACGGAAUGCCGGGUGUAGUGGUGAAAUGCGUAGAUAUCUGGAGGAACACCGGUGGCGAAGGCGGCAUCCUGGACCGGUAUUGACGCUGAGGCGCGAAAGCUAGGGUAGCAAACGGG
rnacentral:rRNA from 1 species